rnacentral:rRNA from 1 species
AACGAACGCUGGCGGCAGGCUUAACACAUGCAAGUCGAGCGCCCCGCAAGGGGAGCGGCAGACGGGUGAGUAACGCGUGGGAAUCUACCCAUCUCUACGGAAUAACGCAUGGAAACGUGUGCUAAUACCGUAUACGUCCUUCGGGAGAAAGAUUUAUCGGAGAUGGAUGAGCCCGCGUUGGAUUAGAUAGUUGGUGGGGUAAAGGCCUACCAAGGCGACGAUCCAUAGCUGGUCUGAGAGGAUGAUCAGCGACACUGGGACUGAGACACGGCCCAGACUCCUACGGGAGGCAGAAGUGGGGAAUAUUGGACAAUGGGCGCAAGCCUGAUCCAGCCAUGCCGCGUGAGUGAUGAAGGCCCUAGGGUUGUAAAGCUCUUUCGCCGGUGAAGAUAAUGACGGUAACCGGAGAAGAAGCCCCGGCUAACUUCGUGCCAGCAGCCGCCGUAAGAC